AAGCGCCGCCGUAGAACAGCGCCCAACGUAAUAAUACAAAUCUCACAGAGACCGUGCCCCUCCCCUGUGUGGGAGACUUCCCUGACAAAUCCCUUAUAAUCCGUUGCACCUUUCAGUGUUUGUUACUUAGCAGCUCAUUGUUUUCGAAACUUCCCCAUAUCCAUAGUAACGAAAAGAAAUCCAGACAGAAUACGAAAAUCUCUAAACUUUUGUAAGCAACAUCUUAAACGGCUUAUUUUCAAACUUCAAAGAUCAGUUAUGUUAGGGCGUUUGUUAUUAUGUAUGAGUAUUUCUCUCUUGGCCUUCCUUCAAUUUUCCGAUGGCUUUAUCCAAGUUUUGCAACCAGGAAUAGGUGACUAGAUGUGGACACGCAGAACAGGUUAACUCAGUUCGGAAGUCUUGAAAAGAACAAUAAUGAAAUGAAUGAUGUUUCGUCUUGGGCUGGUGACUCUUCAGAGUUUAUCCGUUCAGGCUCGAAACAAAAGAGAGACUACACUCUACAAAAACUUCUAAACAUUUUGAAAAAAGUUGCUGCCUAUCGUCGACGUCCGGUCCGCAUCAUUGGAAAACACAUGAGAUUUGGGAUUAGUAAGAAGUAAGACAGCUACCGAAGUCGAUGAAUAUGAAUAUUCUACAUUCUAGUGUUUGAUGGAAUUUUCUGGAAUCUUGCUUUAAUUGUAGUUUUUGGUUUUGGUGUUUCUUACUAUAGAUACUGGCAAAGUAAAAAAAUAGCUCUAUAUGAUUAAUA